AUUUCUUGGAGAAAAUAACCUGAAUCUGCUAGCAGCUUUGAACAAGGGGAAGGGUUUAUGAGCUCUCUUCCCAAAAUAGGUCAUGCUAUUGUUUUGCUUUUGUUCUUACCUCAAGCCAAGUGAGGAAGGGAAGAUGGAUAAAUGUUUAGAGGAUCACGUAAUCAUUGCUUUGUGGCUUGAUAUUGAAGUCCUUGGAGGAGCUUUAUAGCCAA
rnacentral:misc_RNA from 1 species